UUGAACGCUGGCGGCAUGCUUUACACAUGCAAGUCGAACGGCAGCGGGGGCUUCGGCCUGCCGGCGAGUGGCGAACGGGUGAGUAAUAUAUCGGAACAUAUCCUGUCGUGGGGGAUAACUAAUCGAAAGGUUAGCUAAUACCGCAUACGACCUGAGGGAGAAAGCGGGGGACCUUCGGGCCUCGCGCGAUUGGAGCGGCUGAUGUCGGAUUAGCUAGUUGGUGGGGUAAAGGCCUACCAAGGCGACGAUCCGUAGCUGGUCUGAGAGGAUGAUCAGCCACACUGGGACUGAGACACGGCCCAGACUCCUACGGGAGGCAGCAGUGGGGAAUUUUGGACAAUGGGGGCAACCCUGAUCCAGCCAUGCCGCGUGAGUGAAGAAGGCCUUCGGGUUGUAAAGCUCUUUCAGACGGAAAGAAAUCGGGUGCGUGAAUAGCGCGCCUGGAUGACGGUACUGUCAGAAGAAGCACCGGCUAACUACGU
rnacentral:rRNA from 1 species